UACGUAGGGUGCAAGCGUUAUCCGGAAUUAUUGGGCGUAAAGAGCUCGUAGGCGGUUUGUCGCGUCUGCUGUGAAAACUGGAGGCUCAACCUCCAGCCUGCAGUGGGUACGGGCAAACUAGAGUGCGGUAGGGGAGAUUGGAAUUCCCGGUGUAGCGGUGGAAUGCGUAGAGAUCCGGAGGAAGACCGGUGGCGAAGGCGGCCUGCUGGGCAGUUACUGACACUGAGGCGCGACAGCGUGGGGAGCAAACAGG
rnacentral:rRNA from 1 species